GGUGAACGCUGGCGGCGUGCUUAAGACAUGCAAGUCGAACGCAGUCUUCGGACUGAGUGGCGCACGAGUGAGUAACACGUAACUGACCUACCCCCAAGUCGCGAAUAACCAGCCGAAAGGAUGGCUAAUACGUGAUGUGAUGAUCCGCUGUGGCGGAUCAUUAAAGACUUGAUCGCUUGGGGAUGGGGUUGCGUUCCAUCAGCUAGUUGGUGAGGUAAAGGCUUAUCAAGGCAACGACGGAUAGCCGGCCUGAGAGGGUGGCCGGCCACAGGGGCACUGGGCCCCGGGUGCCACUCCUACGGGAGGCAGCAGUUAGGAAUCUUCCACAAUGGGCGCAAGCCUGAUGGAGCGACGCCGCGUGAGGGAUGAAGGUUCUCGGAUCGUAAACCUCUGAACCAACGACGAAAGACCCGACAAGGGAGAUGACGGUAGUUGGGUAAUAGCACCGGCUAACUCCGUGCCAGCCGCCGCAGUAAAAC
rnacentral:rRNA from 1 species